AACGCUAGCUACAGGCUUAACACAUGCAAGUCGAGGGGCAGCAUAAAAGUAGCAAUACUUUGGUGGCGACCGGCGCACGGGUGAGUAACGCGUAUGCAACCUACCUAUCAGAGGGGGAUAACCCGGCGAAAGUCGGACUAAUACCGCAUAAAACAGGGGCACCGCAUGGUGAUAUUUGUUAAAAAUUUAUUGCUGAUAGAUGGGCAUGCGUUCCAUUAGGUAGUUGGAGAGGUAACGGCUCACCAAGCCUACGAUGGAUAGGGGAACUGAGAGGUUGGUCCCCCACACUGGUACUGAGACACGGACCAGACUCCUACGGGAGGCAGCAGUGAGGAAUAUUGGUCAAUGGGCGAGAGCCUGAACCAGCCAAGUCGCGUGAAGGAAGAAGGAUCUAUGGUUCGUAAACUUCUUUUGCAGGGGAAUAAAGUGCAGGACGUGUCCUGUUUUGUAUGUACCCUGAGAAUAAGGAUCGGCUAACUCCGUGCCAGCAGCCGCGGUAAUACGGAAGGUCCAGGCGUUAUCCGGAUUUAUUGGGUUUAAAGGGAGCGUAGGCCGUCUGUUAAGCGUGUUGUGAAAUGUAGAUGCUCAACAUCUGAAUUGCAGCGCGAACUGGCAGACUUGAGUGUGCGCAACGUAGGCGGAAUUCGUGGUGUAGCGGUGAAAUGCUUAGAUAUCACGAAGAACUCCGAUUG
rnacentral:rRNA from 1 species